GACAAGCUCUUGUUGCAAACGCUGUCUCCAUCUUAAAUCUACACAGCCUCAACUAUUUCCAACACAGGGCUGGAAAUAUAGCUUUGCCCAGUGAAGUAUUUUUCCUCCCUCUAUAACAGGGUGUGUAAAACAUUUGGAGUUCAAAAAUCUGUGCAGAGAAGAGCCCACAGGGUGCACGGAGAAGUGAGCGGGGCAUAACACUCUGGAUUCUCAGAUCGUAUUUUACAACGAUGCUUCCCAUCUCACUGAUGAAGUGACUCUGUGCAACAUAUAACUUAUACACAUCUAGAAUGGCUACUAGUACAGUGGUGUCUGCAGGGAAGAAAAGGACCAUGGGAACAUCGGAAGCUGCCAAAGCAAAGGGCUGUCCUACAUGCUGUCUCCCAAGGUUGAAGGGGACACACUCCGCAGGAACAGGCACCUGCAGCACCAGAUAAAUUGAUUUUUUCUGGAUGUCAAUCUGGCAAAACAAACAGAAAAGAUUUUGGGAAUGAAAAAGAAACUGCAGAGAAUGGAGAAAGAGUGAGCACCCUCAAAUAUUUAGAAUGAAUCACUCUUUUUUAGGUCCACCAGAAAAGCUUCCAUAGCUUUGAGCCAGAUGAUCUUACAACCCAACUGAAUCAAGUUGCCAUCAACCGAACUCUUUGGGACCAUGGAUUUGAUAUUCUGGAAAUGGGCUGAUACAUCAUCAGCUCUGCCUUCCUGCAACAGCACAAUCAGAUCAGCCAUGCAAGAUCAAGGUCUUUCCCAUCAUUUAUAUUUCAAUUAGCCAAUGAAGUCCCUUUGGAAAGGAGCCUGUGUCCUGCUUCUCCCCUUUCUUCUGCUGACAAGGAGGAAUGGGAUAGCUAGGCAGAUUCACAUCAUCCAUCUUUCCUUUCCUUGACAAGAACUGCAUUGAAAAUAAUGGAGGGGAGAGAAGCAAAAUGCCAGGAUAAUGUACGGAAGCUUCCUUUACCUUGCAAUUUCCUGCCCAGUUACCAACUUUCAAAAGUGUAUUGAAGGGACACAUUUAGCACAUUGCCAAUCUUGUGUCCUCACCUUUGAAUGCAAAAGACUUACCUGUCAGGAAGGGGAGAAAGAGGUAGAUUACCCUGGAUAAGGAACCAUUGUGAAGUGUGAAAUCAAAUGCCAACAGCAGCUUUCUAGUCAUGUCCUUCUUCAUGGCUGAUGCCUUGCCGAGGACAUUUGCUAUAAAAAUGUAGAGAAUGGCAUAUGGCUUUUUCUUCCCCAGAAAAUGACAAGGAGGAAAUUGCUUUGGUAAAGGAGGGGGAUGUCUUUCUCCUGGAGUUGUUCUGACCGAGGCUUCCCAAGAGCCUGGCUAUUUGCCGGUUCUCCGAACUACUCAAAAUUUCCGCUACUGAUCCUCCAGAACCUGUCAGAACAGGCUGGAUACCACCUCUGUUGUGAAUGCCUUUGCAAAUGGGUGUGUAAAUCCUUUGGACAGCCCAGGCUCCACCACUUUAAACUGUGCACAGCUUUGCUUUAGGAGACGAGAAGAGAAGAGACAGAAGAGGUUUUGAUCUCUGGACUGCUGUCAUGGAAAUAGCAUGGCUUGCAAAAACUCAAACGUUGCCUUGCUCUGUUGGAAAAAUACGAUUAGGAAAAAAAAGUACUUGGUUGAUGUUGGAGUAGAGUCUUUGAAAAAGGAAAAGAGGGAGAGAGAAUGGAAGAGGAACGGUGUUGAUUUAAUGCCUGUGCCUCUAUUGAAGUGAAUUCCACCCUCAAAUUUAUUUCAGUGAAGUGCAAAAAUGGUAGCUUGCCACAGAUAUUUAGUAGAAAUGAUCUAACAACCAUCAUAACAUCCGGAGGCAGAUGUCACCUCCUGUGUUUGUUCUUCUGCAAACACCAAUGCAAAAGAGAUGCCAUCAAUCAGCUCUUAUGAAUUAAGAGGUUUUUUCCCCUACCUUGAUUGACUAGGGAUAUGACUAAGCACUGACAGGAUAGUGGGGGAUGGAAGGAUUUAUAUUCCUUGCGGACAACUGGUCAUUUGGUUAGGUUAG